rnacentral:rRNA from 1 species
GACGAACGCUGGCGGCGUGCUUAAUACAUGCAAGUCGAGCGGAAGGGCCUGUCGGUGGACACGAGCGGCGAAGGGGCGGGUAAGACGUGGGCAAGCUGACCUGCACUCUGGGAUAAGGGGGGAAAAUUGGGACUAAUACGGUAAAUGACCUCAUUUCGCAGGACGGGAGGGGGAAAGAGUUAUCGGUGGAGGUUGGGCCCGCGGGCUAUCAGCUAGCUGGUGGUGAACUGGCCUACGAAGGCAAGGACUGGUAGCCGACCCGAGAGGGUGACCAGCCACACGAGUACUGAGACACGGCGCAGACUGCUACGGGACGCAGUAGGGGGGAGUAUGGCGCAGUGGGCGAGAGCCUGAUGCAGCGACGCCGCGUGCGUGAUGACGUGCUUCGGGUUGUAAACAUCUUUCAGCAUAGACGAAGCGCAAGUGACGGUACCUGAAGAGGAAGCACCGGCUAACUACGUG